rnacentral:rRNA from 1 species
AGAGUUUGAUCAUGGCUCAGAUUGAACGCUGGCGGUAUGCUUAACACAUGCAAGUCGAACGGUAACAGGCCUUCGGGCGCUGACGAGUGGCGGACGGGUGAGUAACGCGUAGGAAUCUGCCUCAUAGUGGGGGACAACUUGGGGAAACUCAAGCUAAUACCGCAUACGCCCUACGGGGGAAAGCGGGGGACCUUCGGGCCUCGCGCUAUGAGAUGAGCCUGCGUUAGAUUAGCUAGUUGGUGGGGUAAAGGCCUACCAAGGCGACGAUCUAUAGCUGGUCUGAGAGGACGAUCAGCCACACUGGGACUGAGACACGGCCCAGACUCCUACGGGAGGCAGCAGUGGGGAAUAUUGGACAAUGGGCGCAAGCCUGAUCCAGCAAUACCGCGUGUGUGAAGAAGGCCUGAGGGUUGUAAAGCACUUUCAAUUGGGAGGAAAACCUGCCGGUCAAUACCCGGCAGCUUGACAUUACCUUUAGAAGAAGCACCGGCUAACUCCGUGCCAGCAGCCGCGGUAAUACGGAGGGUGCGAGCGUUAAUCGGAAUUACUGGGCGUAAAGCGUGCGUAGGCGGUUAUUUAAGUCAGAUGUGAAAGCCCCGGGCUUAACCUGGGAACUGCAUUUGAUACUGGGUAACUAGAGUUUAGUAGAGGAGAGUGGAAUUUCAGGUGUAGCGGUGAAAUGCGUAGAGAUCUGAAGGAACACCAGUGGCGAAGGCGACUCUCUGGACUAAAACUGACGCUGAGGUACGAAAGCGUGGGUAGCAAACAGGAUUAGAUACCCUGGUAGUCCACGCCGUAAACGAUGUCAACUAGCCGUUGGGCCUUUUAACAGGCUUAGUGACGCAGCUAACGCAUUAAGUUGACCGCCUGGGGAGUACGGCCGCAAGGUUAAAACUCAAAUGAA